rnacentral:rRNA from 1 species
GACAGAGGGUGCAAACGUUGCUCGGAAUCACUGGGCGUAAAGGGCGUGUAGGCGGGAAGGUAAGUCAGAUGUGAAAUCCCUGGGCUCAACCCAGGAACUGCAUUUGAAACUCCCUUUCUUGAGUGCCGGAGAGGAGAGCGGAAUUCCUGGUGUAGAGGUGAAAUGCGUAGAGAUCGGCAGGAACACCCAGGGAGAAAUCAGCCGCCUGGGCAAGUGCUGACGCUGAGGUGCGAAAGCGUGGGGAGCGAACCGG